CCUGCUCCCCGCUCUGGCUCCCGCCGCCGCCGCCUCCGCGCCGCUCACCCAAACUGCCAGGCCCAUGACCCUAAUUGAUUGUGACCUUUUGAGAUGAGAAACAUGGUUCCUGCCCUCAAGAGGAUGAAGUUUGGAGAAAAAUGUAGACAAUCAUAUCAAAUAGUGUGAGGACAAACCCUGAAAUCAAGGUUAUUGUUAAAAUAUGGAGGAGGAGCACCUCAUUCAACCUGCGUUAUAAAGGAAGUACUUCUCAAAAAAAUGUAAAGAUCAAGAUGAGUCUUGAAGAACCAGUAUCGGAAUUGGCCAAGUAAGACUCAUUACAAGUAUUCUGGAUCCAUUUUUGGCUAAGCGAAGAGGAAAGUUUUACCAGCUGAUGGCCGUUUGAUGACCUACAUGGAAAGAACUGGUAGACUCAGGAGAGCACAAUUGAGAGAAGUGAUCACAUCACAAAAUGUGACAUCAUUCUUUGGCACCAGCUGGCAUCCCGGACAUGGAGAGUGAGUUACACUCUCAACCCUGAGUUUUCCCCUCCAGACUACCCUUGCGGCUCACCAGAGGGCAGUGUGCAGUAAUCGGCCCUACAGCUUCCUGCAUUGGAUGUCUCCUCUGGAACAGACAAUGGCAAAUCAUCAGAACCAGAAAUCAGGCAAGAUAAUAGAUUAUGGAGGCUGUUUUGUUAGAUUUGUUGUAUCUAUUCCCCCUCGUAGAAUUCUUAACAUUGAGAAAUUAAUCAGUCACUACAUGAGAGAGACAUAAGGUAAUGAGCUUUUAGUAAAUCCUGUUACAGUUUCAAAUUUAUGACAAUAGUCUUGGGAUUAUGAAACUCAGUUCUCCUCUUUAGACUUACACAUGCAUAAUACUAUUCAAAGGUGAAUAAAUUUCCUUUCUUCACACGUCUCACAUCUGAAUUCUCACGAGUUUUCAA